UGAGGAAUUUUCUGCAAUGGGCGAAAGCCUGACAGAGCAAUACCGCGUGAGGGAUGAAGGCCUAUGGGUUGUAAACCUCUUUUCUCAAGGAGGAAGAUAUGACGUUACUUGAGGAAUAAGCAUCGGCUAACCCUGUGCCAGCAGCCGCGGUAAUACGUAGGGACCAAGCGUUGUUCGGAUUUACUGGGCGUAAAGGGCGCGUAGGCGGUGUGUCAAGUCAGUUGUGAAAUCUCCGAGCUUAACUCGGAACGGUCAACUGAUACUGUCACACUAGAGUACAGAAGGGGCAAUCGGAAUUCUUGGUGUAGCGGUGAAAUGCGUAGAUAUCAAGAGGAACACCUGAGGUGAAGACGGGUUGCUGGGCUGACACUGACGCUGAGGCGCGAAAGCCAGGGGAGCAAACGGGAUUAGAUACCCUCGUAGUCCCUGAGCGGGCUGGCAAGGCGCAU
rnacentral:rRNA from 1 species